AGCCUUCUGAAUCCGUGUCGAGAUUUCACCAGACACCAGACCAUCUGGACUCAUGAAACUCAUAAUAAAUGGAGCG
rnacentral:pre_miRNA from 1 species